ensembl:lncRNA
UUUUCUUGUAAUUUUUCUUAAGUUGCAUUUACACAGGAAGCCCAAUUCUGAUCUUUUGGCCCCAAUAUUGGCAAAAGAUCUGAUCUGAUUGGGCAAGAGAUCAGAAUUGGGCAACCGGUGUGAACGUAGCCUUACACACAGUAAAGAGGUUAGACAUUGCAUUAUCAGAAGGAUUUCUGGCGGAUAUAUUUACACGUACAGUACAUUCAGAUCAACAUCAUAAAAAGGUCCAUCCUAUCAGAUCAGUGAUAAAAAGGUCCAUCCUAUCAGAUCAGCGUGAUAAAAAGGUCCAUCCUAUCAGAUCAGCGUGAUAAAAAGGUCCAUCCUAUCAGAUCUGCGUGAUAAAAAGGUCCAUCCUAUCAGAUCUGCGUGAUAAAAAGGUCCAUCCUAUCAGAUCAGUGAUAAAAAGGUCCAUCCUAUCAGAUCAAUGAUAAAAAGGUCCAUCCUAUCAGAUCAGCGUGAUAAAAAGGUCCAUCCUAUCAGAUCAGUGAUAAAAAG